GACGAACGCUGGCGGCGUGCCUAAUACAUGCAAGUCGAACGCAGUUGGGACGGGUGAGUAACACGUGGGUAACCUCCCAUCAGAGGGGAUAACACUUGGAAACAGGUGCUAAACCGAUACUGAUUGAUGGACCCGCGGGGCAUUAGCUAGUUGGUGAGGUAACGGCUCACCAAGGCCACGAUGCAUAGCCGACCGGAGAGGGGGUGCGGCCACACUGGGACUGAGAUACGGCCCAGACUCCUACGGGAGGCAGCAGUAGGGAAUCUUCGGCAAUGGACGAAAGUCGGACCGAGCAACGCCGCGUGUGUGAAGAAGGUUUUCGGAUCGUAAAACUCUGUUGUUAGAGAAGCGGUAUCUAACCAGAAAGCCACGGCUAACUACGUGCCAGCCGCCGCGGUAAUUC
rnacentral:rRNA from 1 species